UACGUAGGGUGCAAGCGUUGUCCGGAAUUAUUGGGCGUAAAGAGCUCGUAGGCGGCUUGUCGCGUCGGCUGUGAAAACCUGGGACUCAACCCCGGGCCUGCAGCCGAUACGGGCAAGCUAGAAUUCGGUAGGGGAGACUGGAAUUCCUGGUGUAGCGGUGAAAUGCGUAGAGAUGGGGGAGAACACUCGUGGCGAAGGCGGCCAGCUAGACCAGUUCUGACACUGAGGCGCGACAGCGUGGGGAGCAAACAGG
rnacentral:rRNA from 1 species